ensembl:miRNA gga-mir-1651 gga-mir-1651
UCCAGGGGGUGGAAGCUAAGACUGAUAAAAGCAAGCAAAUUAUUUACAGUUUGCUUUUGUUGGCCUCUGCUGCCGGGUCCUGGA